CCGGUGGAUUAGUGGCGAACGGGUGAGUAACACGUGAGAAAUCUGCCCUUGACUCUGGGAUAACUGCGGGAAACUGUAGCUAAUACCGGAUACUUUCCCUGGUGGGCAUCCACUGGGGAAGAAAGAAUUUCGGUCAAGGAUGAUCUCGCGGCCUAUCAGCUAGUUGGUGAGGUAAUGGCUCACCAAGGCGACGACGGGUAGCCGGCCUGAGAGGGUGACCGGCCACACUGGAACUGAGACACGGUCCAGACUCC
rnacentral:rRNA from 1 species